ACCAAUCGAAGUAACCAUCUAGCAAUGGUAUCCGAUAUCUGGAUAGAUUGAAUGUAUCCAAAGCAACACUCAAGAACCUAUUUGGAUAUAGUUACUGUAUAAUUCAUCCCUUUGACCCUUGAAGCUAGGAUGACUUAGAGUUUAAACUGUCAACUCUUAACAGUACAUCCAUUAUGUGUCCCAACUUAAUAAAUCCUGUGACUCCUCACAAGGAUUGCUCUGGUCA
rnacentral:lncRNA from 1 species